rnacentral:rRNA from 1 species
UUUUGACCGUGCAAAGGUAGCGCAAUCACUUGUCUUUUAAAUAGAGACCUGUAUGAAUGGCUAAACGAGGGCUUAACUGUCUCCCCUUUCCAGUCAGUGAAAUUGAUCUACCCGUGCAGAAGCGGGUAUAAUAAUACAAGACGAGAAGACCCUUUGGAGCUUAAGGUACAAAACUCAACCACGUUAAGCAACUCAAUAAAAAGUGAGAACUUUGUGGAAUAUGAGAUUUUACCUUCGGUUGGGGCGACCACGGAGGAAAAAAGAGCCUCCAGGUGGAACGGGAGAAUUUCCUAAAACUAAGAGAGACAUCUCUAAGCCACAGAACAUCUGACCAAAUAUGAUCCGGCUAAUACAAGCCGAUCAACGAACCAAGUUACCCUAGGGAUAACAGCGCAAUCCUCUCCCAGAGUCCAUAUCGACGAGGGG